rnacentral:snoRNA from 1 species
AACCUGUAGAGUCCUUAUCCAUCAGACCUACACACUGGUCCGAGCGGUUAUAAAAGGAGGGUGAUGAACAUGGAAACAGUCUUAAAUUCUUUUGUGACACACGAGCUGGUUUCAAACACAC